CUCGGUGCCCAUGGCGUGAGGGAAACACCUGUUAUCAUUCCGAACACAGAAGUUAAGCCUCAUAGCGGCGAUUAUACUGCAAUAUGUGGGAAACUAGCACGGUGCCGAAU
rnacentral:rRNA from 1 species